UACGUAGGUGGCAAGCGUUGUCCGGAUUUACUGGGCGUAAAGAGCGCGCAGGCGGUUGGAUAAGUCGAAUGUGAAAGCCCCCGGCUCAACUGGGGAGGGUCAUUCGAUACUGUCCGACUCGAAGGCAGGAGAGGGAAGCGGAAUUCCCGGUGUAGUGGUGAAAUGCGUAGAGAUCGGAAAGAACACCAACGGCGAAAGCACUCUGCUGGGCCGACACUGACACUGAGAGACGAAAGCUAGGGGAGCGAAUGGG
rnacentral:rRNA from 1 species